rnacentral:rRNA from 1 species
ACUUAAAUUGAAGAGUUUGAUCAUGGCUCAGAUUGAACGCUGGCGGCAGGCCUAACACAUGCAAGUCGAGCGGUAGCACAGAGAGCUUGCUCUCGGGUGACGAGCGGCGGACGGGUGAGUAAUGUCUGGGAAACUGCCUGAUGGAGGGGGAUAACUACUGGAAACGGUAGCUAAUACCGCAUAAUGUCGCAAGACCAAAGUGGGGGACCUUCGGGCCUCAUGCCAUCAGAUGUGCCCAGAUGGGAUUAGCUAGUAGGUGGGGUAACGGCUCACCUAGGCGACGAUCCCUAGCUGGUCUGAGAGGAUGA